GAACCGUACAAACGUUAUUCGGAAUCACUGGGGCUUAAAGGGGUGCGUAGGCGGUCCGGCAAGUUGGGUGUGAAAUCCCUCGGCUCAACCGAGGGAAUUGCGCUCAAAACUGCCGGACUUGAGGGAGACAGAGGUGAGCGGAACUUGCGGUGGAGCGGUGAAAUGCGUUGAUAUCGCAAGGAACACCAGUAGCGAAAGCGGCUCACUGGGUCUCUUCUGACGCUCAUGCACGAAGGCUAGGGGAGCGAACGGGAUUAGAUACCCCGGUAGUCCUAGCUGUAAACGAUGAGCACUGGGUUGGAGGCUCCUCCAUAGGCUUCCUGCCGUAGCGAAAGUGUUAAGUGCUCCGCCUGGGGAGUAUGGUCGCAAAGGCUG
rnacentral:rRNA from 1 species